GACAGAGGUUGCAAACGUUGUUCGGAAUCACUGGGCAUAAAGCGCACGUAGGCGGCUAGCUAAGUCAGGUGUGAAAUCCCCCGGCUCAACCGGGGAACUGCGCCUGAUACUGGCCGGCUUGAGGACGGUAGGGGUGAGUGGAACUCCAGGUGGAGCGGUGAAAUGCGUAGAUAUCUGGAGGAACACCGGUGGCGAAAGCGGCUCACUGGACCGUCUCUGACGCUGAGGUGCGAAAGCUAGGGUAGCAAACGGG
rnacentral:rRNA from 1 species